rnacentral:rRNA from 1 species
UAGUCCGGAUCGCAGUCUGCAACUCGACUGCGUGAAGUCGGAAUCGCUAGUAAUCGCGAAUCAGAAUGUCGCGGUGAAUACGUUCCCGGGCCUUGUACACACCGCCCGUCACACCAUGGGAGUGGGUUGCACCAGAAGUAGCUAGUCUAACCUUCGGGAGGACGGUUACCACGGUGUGAUUCAUGACUGGGGUGAAGUCGUAACAAGGUAGCCGUAGGGGAACCUGCGGCUGG